rnacentral:lncRNA from 1 species
AUUAUCUGAGCUGUAUAUAAACUGUGCCAAAACCCUUCUCUUCUCACCUCCGGGGAUGUGCUUACUGGUUGAGACUCCCUAUUCUGUUAGUGUCAUACCCUGAAAUAAGAAAGAGGCCGGACAAGUUACUAAGACGGAUGACCUUUUGGUUACCAGUACGUUGCCCCCUCAUCGACUUGGAUUGUCCGCUCGGGUAUACUGUUUAGAACACAUACCCAGGUUUUUGAACCUAGAAUAACUUGACUUUGUGCCGGAUCUAUUGUAGGAACAUGUUGUUAUAAACAUCAAUACCACACAAGAGG